rnacentral:rRNA from 1 species
UGUAUAAUGGGUCAGCGACUUAUAUUCUGUAGCAAGGUUAACCGAAUAGGGGAGCCGAAGGGAAACCGAGUCUUAACUGGGCGUUAAGUUGCAGGGUAUAGACCCGAAACCCGGUGAUCUAGCCAUGGGCAGGUUGAAGGUUGGGUAACACUAACUGGAGGACCGAACCGACUAAUGUUGAAAAAUUAGCGGAUGACUUGUGGCUGGGGGUGAAAGGCCAAUCAAACCGGGAGAUAGCUGGUUCUCCCCGAAAGCUAUUUAGGUAGCGCCUCGUGAAUUCAUCUCCGGGGGUAGAGCACUGUUUCGGCAAGGGGGUCAUCCCGACUUACCAACCCGAUGCAAACUGCGAAUACCGGAGAAUGUUAUCACGGGAGACACACGGCGGGUGCUAACGUCCGUCGUGAAGAGGGAAACAACCCAGACCGCCAGCUAAGGUCCCAAAGUCAUGGUUAAGUGGGAAACGAUGUGGGAAGGCCCAGACAGCCAGGAUGUUGGCUUAGAAGCAGCCAUCAUUUAAAGAAAGCGUAAUAGCUCACUGGUCGAGUCGGCCUGCGCGGAAGAUGUAACGGGGCUAAACCAUGCACCGAAGCUGCGGCAGCGACACUGUGUGUUGUUGGGUAGGGGAGCGUUCUGUAAGCCUGUGA